UUAUUUGCACAGAGGUUGUACCAUGGCCAAUGAGGUAAAUCCGAGGCAUGGUUAUUGCUAGUUUG
rnacentral:snRNA from 1 species